rnacentral:rRNA from 1 species
UACGUGAGGGGGCAAGGCGUUGUCCGGAUUCAUUGGGCGUAAAGCGCGCGUAGGCGGCUCGGAAAGUCGGUCGUGAAAUGCCGGGGCUCAACCCCGGGACUGCGUCCGAUACUUCCGGGCUGGAGGUAGGUAGGGGAGAUCGGAAUUCCUGGUGUAGCGGUGAAAUGCGCAGAUAUCAGGAGGAACACCGGUGGCGAAGGCGGAUCUCUGGGCCUUACCUGACGCUGAGGCGCGAAAGCUAGGGGAGCGAACAGG